rnacentral:rRNA from 1 species
GACGAACGCUGGCGGCGUGCUUAACACAUGCAAGUCGAACGGAAAGGCCCUGCUUUUGUGGGGUGCUCGAGUGGCGAACGGGUGAGUAACACGUGAGUAACCUGCCCUUGACUUUGGGAUAACUUCAGGAAACUGGGGCUAAUACCGGAUAGGAGCUCCUGCUGCAUGGUGGGGGUUGGAAAGUUUCGGCGGUUGGGGAUGGACUCGCGGCUUAUCAGCUUGUUGGUGGGGUAGUGGCUUACCAAGGCUUUGGCGGGUAGCCGGCCUGAGAGGGUGACCGGCCACAUUGGGACUGAGAUACGGCCCAGACUCCUACGGGAGGCAGCAGUGGGGAAUAUUGCACAAUGGGCGGAAGCCUGAUGCAGCAACGCCGCGUGCGGGGUGACGGCCUUCGGGUUGUAAACCGCUUUCGCCUGUGACGAAGCGUGAGUGACGGUAAUGGGUAAAGAAGCACCGGCUAACUACGUGCCAGCAGCCGCGGUGAUACGUAGGGUGCGAGCGUUGUCCGGAUUUAUUGGGCGUAAAGGGCUCGUAGGUGGUUGAUCGCGUCGGAAGUGUAAUCUUGGGGCUUAACCCUGAGCGUGCUUUCGAUACGGGUUGACUUGAGGAAGGUAGGGGAGAAUGGAAUUCCUGGUGGAGCGGUGGAAUGCGCAGAUAUCAGGAGGAACACCAGUGGCGAAGGCGGUUCUCUGGGCCUUUCCUGACGCUGAGGAGCGAAAGCGUGGGGAGCGAACAGGCUUAGAUACCCUGGUAGUCCACGCUGUAAACGGUGGGUACUAGGUGUGGGGUCCAUUCCACGGGUUCCGUGCCGUAGCUAACGCUUUAAGUACCCCGCCUGGGGAGUACGGCCGCAAGGCUAAAACUCAAAGGAAUUGACGGGGCCCCGCACAAGCGGCGGAGCAUGCGGAUUAAUUCGAUGCAACGCGUAGAACCUUACCUGGGUUUGACAUGGAUCGGGAGUGCUCAGAGAUGGGUGUGCCUCUUUUGGGGUCGGUUCACAGGUGGUGCAUGGCUGUCGUCAGCUCGUGUCGUGAGAUGUUGGGUUAAGUCCCGCAACGAGCGCAACCCUUGUUCACUGUUGCCAGCACGUUAUGGUGGGGACUCAGUGGAGACCGCCGGGGUCAACUCGGAGGAAGGUGGGGAUGACGUCAAGUCAUCAUGCCCCUUAUGUCCAGGGCUUCACGCAUGCUACAAUGGCUGGUACAGAGAGUGGCGAGCCUGUGAGGGUGAGCGAAUCUCGGAAAGCCGGUCUCAGUUCGGAUUGGGGUCUGCAACUCGACCUCAUGAAGUCGGAGUCGCUAGUAAUCGCAGAUCAGCAACGCUGCGGUGAAUACGUUCCCGGGGCU